AUGGCCGCACGGGGAGGAGGCAGUGCCAACGUGGCCGUGCUCCUUGCCGUGCUUCUUCUCUGCACUCUCGUGGCGGAGGCGGCGGUGUUCAACGUCGGCGACCGCGGCGGCUGGUCCUUCAACACCAACUCCUGGCCCACCGGCAAGCGCUUCAAGGCCGGCGACGUCCUAGUGUUCAAGUACGACGCGACGGCGCACGACGUGGUGGCGGUGAGCGCGGCGGGGUACAAGGCCUGCGCCAAGCCGGCAAACGGCGCCAAGGUGUACAAGUCCGGUGCCGACCGCGUCACCCUCGCCCGCGGCACAAACUACUUCAUCUGUAGCAUCCCCGGACACUGCCAAUCCGGCAUGAAGAUCGCCGUCACUGCCGCCUAG
rnacentral:rRNA from 1 species